AGGUGGGCCCAAUGUACUCACUGGGUCUUUAGAAAGGAAAGAGGCUGUGGGAGAGUCAGAGAUAGAGACAUCGUGAUGGAAGUAAAGGUCGGAGUGAGGUGCUGGCUGGUUUUGAAGCUGGAGGAAGAGGCCAUUUGACAAGAAAUCUGGGCAGCCUCUAGAAACUGGAAAAAGCAAGAAAGCAGAUUCUCCUCUAGAGCUUCCAGAAGGGAAGACAGGCGGGAAGACAUCAUGGUUUUAGCCCAACGAGAUCCAACUGGACUUCUGACCUCCAGAACUGCCAUUUGAACAAGGAAUAAAGAACAGAGCCAUCUUUGCUUCAUGGAAGAUCAGUUAUCUUAGAGAAGUGUACUAUGAACGGAGUAACUCCUAUUUUUUUCCUAUUAUCCACUCAUUGAAAAUCAAUUUUAUAUCCUUGGAGGAAUUAUCCAGCAAUUUGACAAGACGUAUCCAAAUCGUGACUGGUCAUCUCCAAUAUCCCUCAUGGGUACAAGAGCAUAAAGGAGUGACAUGCAGUGCGGUAAUAUUAAAAUGAUAUAGACAGGAAGAUGAUUCAGGGAAGGAUAAGAUUGGAUUUAGUCCAUCAAUGAUCUGUUGCCAUGAGGAAUACGUGGACUCCAACUACACAUGUCCAGUUGACCCGUGAGCUGCAUAAUUGAAAAAAACCUUCUCCUCAGGACACUCCUACUCAGAUAUCAAAGAGCAGCAGUAGCUACCUGUCAGAUAAACUCAGGAAGAUUCAAAUGACUUAAACCAUGAGAAAGCCACAAAAGUGAUUAAAGAAAGGAGAACAAGCAAUAAGAAAAUGCAGCCACACAGCAAAAUGAGAUCUUUAACUCCAGGAUCUGAAAUCCCACACAACAGCUCGACACAAGAUGGGGAGAAGAGAAGGAAAAUGCCCACAACCCCAUGAGAAGCAAUAGCGGGAGGAAUGGCCACAUUGGGUGGAAAGCCUUUCCAGAAAUGCCGUGUAUGUUCUUUAGUCUUCAAAAUUGCCUUGACAGUUAAUUUGAAAGGUGAAUUAACUAAAGUUCAAUCAUUUUUGAGUAAAUGGCCCAAGUACACAUGGCAAUUCCAUGGUGGAAUCAGGAUUCAGCCCCUAAUUUUCAAAAGCAUUCUAUCCACCCCAGCCUUCAAUCUCAAUAAAUCAUCAUUAAAAUACAGGCAUGGCUGAUUUUAACUAUUAGAAACAUGUUUUCCUUGCCUAUGAGAUUAAAUAGUUAUCAAGUUCUAUUGAAAAACCACAUUAUUAAUUUUUGGUGAGAAAGCAUAUCUCCAACUUUUACUGUACCAUUGUUUUAGAGUC
rnacentral:lncRNA from 1 species